rnacentral:rRNA from 1 species
UACGUAGGUGGCAAGCGUUAUCCGGAAUUAUUGGGCGUAAAGCGCUCGCAGGCGGUUUCUUAAGUCUGAUGUGAAAGCCCACGGCUCAACCGUGGAGGGUCAUUGGAAACUGGGAGACUUGAGUGCAGAAGAGGAGAGUGGAAUUCCACGUGUAGCGGUGAAAUGCGUAGAGAUGUGGAGGAACACCAGUGGCGAAGGCGACUCCCUGGUCUGUAACUGACGCUGAGGUGCGAAAGCGUGGGGAGCAAACAGG